rnacentral:rRNA from 1 species
CCUACGGGAGGCAGCAGUGGGGAAUAUUGGGCAAUGGAGGAAACUCUGAUCCAGCAACGCCGCGUGAAUGAUGAAGGUUUUCGGAUCGUAAACUUCUUUUCUAAGGGACGAAGAAAGUGACGGUACCUUAGUAAUAAGCCCCGGCUAACUACGUGCCAGCAGCCGCGGUAAUACGUAGGAGGCAAGCGUUAUCCGGAAUGACUGGGCGUAAAGGGUGCGUAGGCGGUUUGAUAAGUCGGUUGCGGAACUCCGGGGCUCAACCCGAGGACUACAACCAAAACUGUUGAACUUGAGUGCAGGAGGGGAAAGUGGAAUUGCUAGUGUAGCGGUGGAAUGCGUAGAUAUUAGGAGGAACACCAGGGGCGAAGGCGAUUUGCUGGACUGAAACUGACGCUGAGGCACGAAAGCGUGGGGAGCGAACAGGAUUAGAUACCCCGGUAGUC